UUGAACGCUGGCGGCAUGCCUUACACACGCAAGUCGAACGGUAGAGGGGCAACCCUUGAGAGUGGCGAACGGGUGAGUAAUGCAUCGGAACGUGCCCAGUCGUGGGGGAUAACGCAGCGAAAGCUGUGCUAAUACCGCAUGUGAUCUGUGGAUGAAAGCAGGGGACCGCAAGGCCUUGUGCGAUUGGAGCGGCCGAUGUCAGAUUAGCUAGUUGGUAGGGUAAAAGCCUACCAAGGCGACGAUCUGUAGCUG
rnacentral:rRNA from 1 species